rnacentral:tRNA from 1 species
GGGCCCAUAGCUCAGCGGUUAGAGCUGGCGGCUCAUAACCGCCUGGUCCCUGGUUCGAAUCCAGGUGGGCCCA